AGACCAGAAGAGCUUCCACUGGACUGCUGCCUGCUAUCGAGCAGAUCUCUGCUAUCUCAAAAGAGAAAAGACACUCUCUUGUUCUAGGAUGGCCCCAGUCUCAUGGACUUAUCAGAGGAUGCAAGCAAGAGGUGAAACAGGCUUCAAAGGAAGAGUCAAGCAUCAGAAAAGCUAAAGGCAAACGGGGCAAACGGGUCAAACAAUCCUAAGAGAAGGAUCAUAGAUGAGUGAAGUUAAAAAUAGAUUUCCAUAUAUAAUUAGCUUAGCC